CCUACGGGAGGCAGCAGUAGGGAAUCUUCCACAAUGGGCGAAAGCCUGAUGGAGCAACGCCGCGUGGGUGAAGAAGGUCUUCGGAUCGUAAAACCCUGUUGUUCGAGAAGAAAGUGCGUGAGAGUAACUGUUCACGUUUCGACGGUAUCUAACCAGAAAGCCACGGCUAACUACGUGCCAGCAGCGGCGGUCAUACGUAGGUGGCAAGCGUUAUCCGGAUUUAUUGGGCGUAAAGGGAACGCAGGCGGUCUUUUAAGUCCGAUGUGAAAGCCUUCGGCUUAACCGGAGUAGUGCAUUGGAAACCGGGAGACUUGAGGGCAGAAGAGGGGAGUGGAACUCCAUGGGGUGGGGUGGAA
rnacentral:rRNA from 1 species